rnacentral:rRNA from 1 species
GACGAACCGUCCAAACGUUAUUCGGUAUCACUGGGCUUAAAGCGUGCGUAGGCGGCUUAGUAGGUGAGGUGUGAAAUCCCUCGGCUCAACCGAGGAAUAGCGCUUCAAACCACUAGGCUUGAGGGAGACAGGGGUGAUUGGAACAGUUGGUGGAGCGGUGAAAUGCGUUGAUAUCAACUGGAACACCGGUGGCGAAAGCGAAUCACUGGGUCUUUUCUGACGCUGAGGCACGAAAGCUAGGGGAGCGAACGGG